UUUGGCUUUAAUUUUCCGCUGUUGUUGUAGACGCCUGAUAUGUGUUGACAUAUGGCGGGUCUGGGCGCGCUACCGGGAGGGCCUCCGCCGGUCCCGGGGCGUGACAGAUUAAUUUGGUAUCAGAGCCUAGGGUUGAAUCUUAGUGGACCUAGCAAACCUUAGGCCGGUUGGACUAUAGGAUAUAGGCUCGUGAGAGACGAGGUCUAUUCGACUUGUGAGCGAAAGUAUUAUGAUUGGGUCUUAUGACAACUCUAAAAAGUUAGAGUUUAAUCGGAGUGUAUGGCUUCUAACUUCGCGGAGGGUUACGUUGGCGGCCGACAACGUAACAUCGGAAGUUAGUAGUGA
rnacentral:lncRNA from 1 species